GCGCCCUGGACGCUUUGAUUUGGUAAGAAGUAUAUUCUAUUAUACAACUUGACUUCUUUGCUUCCCAAAUGUGUGGUGAGCAAUACAAAAGCUUUAUUUACACAUUUAUUAUUUUUUUUUUUAGCCUGGAAAAUGGUUAAACAUGGUUUGAGGCCAACAUGGUUAAAAACUUAAAAUUGAACUAUAGAGUGCAGAUUUUACAAAGGUUUGCAGAUGGUUACAUAAACAGACUGAAUAAUCAGUUUGACUUCUGCUCAACAUUAGUGUAAAUAUUGUUCAACUUGUUGCAGUAUCUAUUUGCAAAUUUUUUAAGGUUUACUACCUGUUUGACUCAGUGUCCUUUUCUUUUUACGAGCUAAUAAUCAAUUUAUAAGUAUUCUUUCAUCAAUACUUCAAUAUUACAAAAUUAGAAAUAUAGAAUAUAACAUAAGAAUUAAGAAUAAUUUAAUGAAAAUCAACAUAAUUUCUAAGAGGUAGGAGUAGGACCCAUAUUGCUUUAAUAAUAAAAAUAAUAUUAACCCUUGACCAUUAAAAUUUUAUUAUAGGGCAAGUACAAAUACUCUGUGAUUUAGCACUUUUCAAGCAAGGGUUUGUGGUUUUUCUUUUUGUGACAAGUCAGUACUUUGUGUUUUGCUUCGAUUGGAGUUAGUAAUCAAUUGCUGUAACGCUGUUAAAAAUGCCUGACAUU
rnacentral:misc_RNA from 1 species